rnacentral:rRNA from 1 species
CCUACGGGGGGCUGCAGUGAGGAAUAUUGCGCAAUGGGCGAAAGGCUGACGCAGCGACGCCGCGUGGGGGAUGACGGCCUUCGGGUUGUAAACCCUUGUCAGUGGGGAAGAAAAAAAUGACUGUACCCACAGAGGAAGCCCCGGCUAACUACGUGCCAGCAGCCGCGGUAAGACGUAGGGGGCGAGCGUUGUUCGGAAUUACUGGGCGUAAAGAGCUCGUAGGCUGGAAAUUAAGUCUUUGAACAAAUCUCCCGGCUCAACCGGGAACCGUUUAGAGAUACUGAUUUUCUUGAGAACAGGAGAGGGGAAUGGAAUUCCUAGUGUAGCGGUGAAAUGCGUAGAUAUUAGGAGGAACACCAGUGGCGAAGGCGGUUCUCUGGCCUGUUUCUGACGCUGAGGAGCGAAAGCUGGGGGAGCGAACGGGAUUAGAUACCCCGGUAGUC